UCAGCAUACACAGGGUUUCUGGGAUGCAAAAUGCCCUCUGUAUCUUUCUUUUUGUACUUUCCUUCAUCAGCAAAUGCUGAAUCAAAAUGGGAUGUGCUAGAAGAGCAAAAUCUGGAGGAGGAGGUCAAUGUGAUGAAAUUUCAGGAUGAGCUCGAGUCUGGGAAAAGACCUCGGAAGUGAGGAACGAGUUUCCAGCAGCAAGUGGGACACUAUCAGACUAAGUUGCUACAGAAGGAGUUCGAUAAAAACGAUCGGAACAGGAAGGAAAAGUCCACACAAAAGAGAGAGUAAAGAAAGAUGAGAGGAGGGACAGGAUCGGGAUGGAAACCAAGCCUGGAGCAAAGAUUCAGAUGAGGAGAAGGUUCUGGUGUGUACACAAUGCCACAGAGGAGGCAGCUCUACCUCCCUCUACAGCACGACUCUUUAGCUGCUUACCCCACCAUCUGCGUCAGAUUUUGAAGAACACAAGCUUUCCUGAGAAGGGGAUGGUGAAACUCGACCUAAAGAAGGAAGGUGCACACCAGUGAAGGACAGCCUGCAUAUGUCCUGCUAAUCACAU